AUAAUACUCCACUGUAGGGUGCACCACAUACUGUUUAUCCACUUGGCAAUUGAUAGGCAUUUGGGCUAUUUCCACUUUUUUGCUAAACUGAAUAAUGCUGCUGUGAAUAUUCAGGUACAAUUUUGGGGUGAACAUUCAUUUCUCUGUUGUAAAGAGCUAGGAGUGGAAUUUCUGGGUCACAUGGUCACUCCAUAUUUAAUCAUCUAAGGAGCUGCCAGUCUAUUUUCCAAAGCAUCUGUGCCAUUUUACAUUCCACCAUGUAUGGAAUCAAUGAGGGUCCCAGUUUCUCUGCUUCCUUGUCAGCAUUUGUUCUUAUGGGUUUUUUAUUCUAGCCAUCCUAGCAGGUGUGAGGGGACCCUGCUGCAGCUUUGAUUUGCAUUUCCCCGAGGGCUAGGAAUUUUGAGCAUCAUUUCAUGUUCUUUGUGGCCACUUGUAUAUCUUCUUUGGAGAAAUGUCUACUCAAGUCCCUUUCCCACUUUUAAAUUUGAUUAUUUGUCUCUUUAUUAUUGAAUUAUAAUAGUCCUAUAUGUAUUCUAAAUACCAAUCCAUUAUCAGAUGUAUGAUUUGCAAAAUUUUUCACACAUUAUGUGAAUUUUUUCACUUUUUUAAUGGUGCCCUUUCAAUGCACUGCUUCUAAUAAGAGAAUGAUAAAUCUGAAGUUAGUUUCAGUGGUGGGGUGUGGGAUCCAAGAGAGGGAGAGUGGAGCCGCAGGCAGGGCAGUACCCAGGGAAGACAGGAAGAGCUGAAGGGAAGACAGAGGAGGAGCAGGCAGACAGGGUGGGGCCCAGGGAAGACAGAGGAAGAGCUGCAGGGAAGACAGAGGAGGAGCAAGCAGACAGGGCGAGUUCCCAGCACGCCCGAUAAAGCCCCAUUAAAUCUCCCAGGUGGGGGCCCUUGAGGGUUGAUAGGCAGUCAUUCUUGGCUUUUGAAUUCCUGCCAGUUGAAAUACUUCCCAUAGCAACUGACUCUCAAAAUGCCUUCCAUGGUGAGGAUGGGUUGGAGUUUGGAGAAGAAAUUUCCCCACUGCUCUGUGCCCUGGAGGCUUGCAGAUCCGCAGCAAGGGGCACCAUGAGAGUGGAUGGCCAGUGAUCCUGGGGCUGGGUUUCUGGGUUCUGACCACUGAGCUCUAGAAACUAAAUAGCCACCAGGCCUAGGAAUUCUAAGCUUUGCUGGUCUGAAUUCUCCAUCCACCACACCUACUCCAAUGCCUUUUUCUCAGCGACUCCCUCCCUGUUUGAAUGGCCGUUUCCAACAGUG
rnacentral:lncRNA from 10 species